rnacentral:misc_RNA from 1 species
UUUAGAUUAACUUUACUUUAAAUCGUCGCGUCUUUCUCUGUCUUGUUUCAGCCAAGACAUCUUGCAAGACCACAGAGUGUGUUGUCGGCCAUUGUACACAAAUAGAUACCAGAACCGUCACCUGCUCCUGUGACCACGUCUCCAAUCUUACCGAAACAUGCGAAGUGGAACGGAGCUUUCGUGAAGAUUGUGAAAGGAAAGGAGGCCGUGCCAAAGUGCCCAGUAAUUGGGGACAGGGACCUGCAUGCGACUGCGGCGAAUGGUCAGCAAUGGACGAAAAAGAGGGAAAAUGCGUUCCCACUACUUGCUUGCAUCCCGGAAUCAACUGCCUGUAUCUCUGCAAUAAAAACUUGCUCGGCAAAGACUCCCGUUGCUGCCAAGGCUGGGAUCCAAAAGAUUGCUCGAAGCUGCCACGAGAAGGCACGUACUGUUCUCCUGGUACCAUCUGGGAUGAGGAUGAGGGAUGCAUUGGUAUGACUAAACGUAUUUUGUCUAGUUUUUCUGUCCAAUUUUGAGCAUUUUUCAGGGGAAUGACACCGAAAACAUUGAGGUAUGCAAAUAAAUUAGGCUUAAGUGCUUCAUGAAAUGCGUAUUCUGUGAUAAGUUAUGGUUUUCAGACGAACUGCAGUAGCUUUGAAUGUACUUCUUUUCUUGUUCAAUAAAAA